CGCCAGACUCCUACGGGAGGCAGCAGUGGGGAAUAUUGCACAAUGGGGGAAACCCUGAUGCAGCGACGCCGCGUGAGCGAUGAAGUAUUUCGGUAUGUAAAGCUCUAUCAGCAGGGAAGAAAAUGACGGUACCUGACUAAGAAGCCCCGGCUAACUACGUGCCAGCAGCCGCGGUAAUACGUAGGGGGCAAGCGUUAUCCGGAUUUACUGGGUGUAAAGGGAGCGUAGACGGCUGUGCAAGCCAGAUGUGAAAGCCCGGGGCUCAACCCCGGGACUGCAUUUGGAACUGUGUGGCUGGAGUGUCGGAGAGGCAGGCGGAAUUCCUAGCGUAGCGGUGAAAUGCGUAGAUAUUAGGAGGAACACCAGUGGCGAAGGCGGCCUGCUGGACGAUGACUGACGCUGAGGCUCGAAAGCGUGGGGAGCAAACAGGAUUAGAUACCCCUGUACGA
rnacentral:rRNA from 1 species